rnacentral:rRNA from 1 species
AAGCACCGGCUAACUCUGUGCCAGCAGCCGCGGUAAUACAGAGGGUGCAAGCGUUAAUCGGAAUUACUGGGCGUAAAGCGCGCGUAGGUGGUUCGUUAAGUUGGAUGUGAAAGCCCCGGGCUCAACCUGGGAACUGCAUCCAAAACUGGCGAGCUAGAGUACGGUAGAGGGUGGUGGAAUUUCCUGUGUAGCGGUGAAAUGCGUAGAUAUAGGAAGGAACACCAGUGGCGAAGGCGACCACCUGGACUGAUACUGACACUGAGGUGCGAAAGCGUGGGGAGCAAACAGG